AUGCACGCUGGCGGCGUGCCUAAUACAUGCAAGUCGCGCGAACGGACGAGAAGCUUGCUUCUCUGAUGUUAGCGGCGGACGGGUGAGUAACACGUGGAUAACCUACCUAUAAGACUGGGAUAACUUCGGGAAACCGGAGCUAAUACCGGGUAAUAUUUUGAACCGCAUGGUUCAAAAGUGAAAGACGGUCUUGCUGUCACUUAUAGAUGGAUCCGCGCUGCAUUAGCUAGUUGGUAAGGUAACGGCUUACCAAGGCAACGAUGCAUAGCCGACCUGAGAGGGUGAUCGGCCACACUGGAACUGAGACACGGUCCAGACUCCUACGGGAGGCAGCAGUAGGGAAUCUUCCGCAAUGGGCGAAAGCCUGACGGAGCAACGCCGCGUGAGCGAUGAAGGUCUUCGGAUCGUAAAACUCUGUUAUUAGGGAAGAACAUAUGUGUAAGUAACUGUGCACAUCUUGACGGUACCUAAUCAGAAAGCCACGGCUAACUACGUG
rnacentral:rRNA from 1 species